AUUGCUCUGUGGAUCAGUGGCGAACGGGUGAGUAACACGUGAGCAAUCUGCCCCUGACUCUGGGAUAAGCGCUGGAAACGGCGUCUAAUACCGGAUACGAGCUGCGACCGCAUGGUCAGUAGCUGGAAAGAAUUUCGGUCAGGGAUGAGCUCGCGGCCUAUCAGCUUGUUGGUGAGGUAAUGGCUCACCAAGGCGUCGACGGGUAGCCGGCCUGAGAGGGUGACCGGCCACACUGGGACUGAGACACGGCCCAGACUCCUACGGGAGGCAGCAGUGGGGAAUAUUGCACAAUGGGCGCAAGCCUGAUGCAGCAACGCCGCGUGAGGGAUGACGGCCUUCGGGUUGUAAACCUCUUUUAGCAGGGAAGAAGCGAAAGUGACGGUACCUGCAGAAAAAGCGCCGGCUAACUACGUGCCAGCAGCCGCGGUAAUACGUAGGGCGCAAGCGUUAUCCGGAAUUAUUGGGCGUAAAGAGCUCGUAGGCGGUCUGUCGCGUCUGCUGUGAAAACCCGAGGCUCAACCUCGGGCCUGCAGUGGGUACGGGCAGACUAGAGUGCGGUAGGGGAGAUUGGAAUUCCUGGUGUAGCGGUGGAAUGCGCAGAUAUCAGGAGGAACACCGAUGGCGAAGGCAGAUCUCUGGGCCGUAACUGACGCUGAGGAGCGAAAGGGUGGGGAGCAAACAGGCUUAGAUACCCUGGUAGUCCACCCCGUAAACGUUGGGAACUAGUUGUGGGGUCCAUUCCACGGAUUCCGUGACGCAGCUAACGCAUUAAGUUCCCCGCCUGGGGAGUACGGCCGCAAGGCUAAAACUCAAAGGAAUUGACGGGGACCCGCACAAGCGGCGGAGCAUGCGGAUUAAUUCGAUGCAACGCGAAGAACCUUACCAAGGCUUGACAUAUAGAGGAAACGUCUGGAAACAGUCGCCCCGAAAGGUCUCUAGACAGGUGGUGCAUGGUUGUCAUCAGCUCGUGUCGUGAGAUGUUGGGUAAAUCAC
rnacentral:rRNA from 1 species